GACGAACGCUGGCGGCAUGCCUAAUACAUGCAAGUCGAACGCACGAAGUUGAAAAGCUUGCUUUUCGACCAAGUGASUGGCGGACGGGUGAGUAACACGUGGGUAACCUGCCCAUAAGAGGGGGAUAACAUUSGGAAACGGAUGCUAAUMCCGCAUAUUUCAAGUGACCGCAUGGUCGCUUGAUGAAAGGUGGCUUCGGCUACCACUUAUGGAUGGACCCGCGGUGCAUUAGUUAGUUGGKGAGGUAAUGGCUCACCAAGACCAUGAUGCAUAGCCGACCUGAGAGGGUGAUCGGCCACACUGGGASUGAGACACGKCCCAGACUCCUACGGGAGGCAGCAGUAGGGAAUCUUCCGCAAUGGACGAAAGUCKGACGGAGCAMUGCCGCGUGAGUSAAGAAGSUUUUCSGAUCGUAAAACUCUGUUGUUMGAGAAGAWCAAGGAUGWGAGUAACUGCUCAUCCCCUGACGGUAUCUAACCAGAAGGUGAACUUCC
rnacentral:rRNA from 1 species